rnacentral:rRNA from 1 species
GCCCAGACUCCUACGGGAGGCAGCAGUGAGGAAUAUUGGUCAAUGGGCGGGAGCCUGAACCAGCCAAGCCGCGUGAAGGAAGAAGGCGCCAGGCGUCGUAAACUUCUUUUGUCGGGGAACAAAGGGCGCCACGUGUGGCGUUGUGAGUGUACCCGAAGAAAAAGCAUCGGCUAACUCCGUGCCAGCAGCCGCGGUAAUACGGAGGAUGCGAGCGUUAUCCGGAUUUAUUGGGUUUAAAGGGAGCGUAGAUGGGUUGUUAAGUCAGUUGUGAAAGUUUGCGGCUCAACCGUAAAAUUGCAAUUGAUACUGGCAGCCUUGAGUACAGUUGAGGUAGGCGGAAUUCGUGGUGUAGCGGUGAAAUGCUUAGAUAUCACGAAGAACUCCGAUUGCGAAGGCAGCCUACUAAACUGCCACUGACAUUGAUGCUCGAAAGUGUGGGUAUCAAACAGGAUUAGAUACCCGGGUAAU